CAGUGUUUGGGCUCAGGAACACCUGUGUCCAUGCCGUAGCUUUGUGACGCAGUAUUGGUGGCAUAGGGGGCAGAUCAUCGAGCCCUCAUUCUCUUACCCAUAACAUGGACAUCAUAGCGAAUGUCUCGUAAAGAGCAGUACCACUGUCACCUUUAUGGAUUCAGGAAGGCUCUUCCUCAGGGAUUUCUCCAGGGUCUGCAGCAUCUGGGCACCUUGCAGCGGGAACAUCGUGGAGGACACCUUAGCCCUAGAGAGAGAACCGAGGAGCAGCCAGGAGUGAGAGGAGCUGGAGGAGAUCCAGAAACGAGCGCAGCAAGAAGUUUCAGUUCAAGGGGGCUUAGCCCAUCAGUGGUGAGGCAGAACCUCAUGGUGGCGAGCACAAGGCAGAGCAGAGCUGGUCAUCUCAUGGCAGCCAGGAAGGAGAGAGAGAAAGAGCCUCGGGACAAAAUACAUCCU